AUUGGACAAUGGGGGCAACCCUGAUCCAGCCAUGCCGCGUGUGUGAAGAAGGUCUUCNNNUUGUANAGCACUUUAAGUUGGGANGAANGGCUUUAGGCUAAUACCCUGAAGUUGUGACGUUACCAACAGAAUAAGCACAGGCUAACUCUGUUCCAGCAGCCGCGGUAAUACAGAUGGUGCAAGCGUUAAUCGGAAUUACUGGGCGUAAAGCGCGCGUAGGUUGUUCAGUAAGAUGGGUGUGAACUCCCCGGGCUUAACCUGGGAACUGCUUUCAUAACUGCUGAGCUAGAGUACGGUAGAGGGUAGUGGAAUUUCCUGUGUAGCGGUGAAAUGCGUAGAUAUAGGAAGGAACACCAGUGGCGAAGGCGACUACCUGGACUGAUACUGACACUGAGGUGCGAAAGCGUGGGGAGCAAAC
rnacentral:rRNA from 1 species